GGCUAGACUCUUCACCAGGGAGGGGUAACUUCCAGGAAGACCACCGAUACCUUCUUGAUAGUAGUCACCCAAUGCUUCCUGGAGCAGGUCAUGAAAUCUAUCUGGUGCAUUAUAACAAGAGUUCAAAAUAAAAUUUACCCAGUGCAAUAGAAUCCAGUAGGUUAAAAUAAAGGGUAGACAGAC